rnacentral:tRNA from 1 species
GGAGAAUUACUCAAGAGGCUGAAGAGGACGGUUUGCUAAAUAGUUAGGUCGGGUAACUGGCGCGGGGGUUCGAAUCCCCCAUUCUCCG